UACAGAGGUCCCAAGCGUUGUUCGGAUUCAUUGGGCGUAAAGGGGUGCGUAGGUGGCGCGGUAAGUCGGGUGUGAAAUUUCGGAGCUUAACUCCGAAACUGCAUUCGAUACUGCCGUGCUUGAGGACUGGAGAGGAGACUGGAAUUUACGGUGUAGCAGUGAAAUGCGUAGAGAUCGUAAGGAAGACCAGUGGCGAAGGCGGGUCUCUGGACAGUUCCUGACACUGAGCACGAAGGCCAGGGGAGCAAACGGG
rnacentral:rRNA from 1 species